AUUGAACGCUGGCGGCAUGCCUAACACAUGCAAGUCGAACGGCAGCGCGGGGGCAACCCUGGCGGCGAGUGGCGGACGGGUGAGGAAUACAUGGGAAUCUACCCUGUCGUGGGGGAUAACGUAGGGAAACUUACGCUAAUACCGCAUACGACCGAGAGGUGAAAGCGGCGGACCGCAAGGCGUCGCGCGACUGGAUGAGC
rnacentral:rRNA from 1 species